AUGAACGCUGGCGGCGUGCCUAAUACAUGCAAGUCGAGCGAACAGACGAGGAGCUUGCUCCCCUGACGUUAGCGGCGGACGGGUGAGUAACACGUGGAUAACCUACCUAUAAGACUGGGAUAACUUCGGGAAACCGGGGCUAAUACCGGAUAAUAUAUUGAACCGCAUGGUUCAAUAGUGAAAGACGGUUUUGCUGUCACUUAUAGAUGGAUCCGCGCCGCAUUAGCUAGUUGGUAAGGUAACGGCUUACCAAGGCAACGAUGCGUAGCCGACCUGAGAGGGUGGUCGGCCACACUGGAACUGAGACACGGUCCAGACUCCUACGGGAGGCAGCAGUAGGGAAUCUUCCGCAAUGGGCGAAAGCUUGACGGAGCAACGCCGCGUGAGUGAUGAAGGUCUUCGGAUCGUAAAACUCUGUUAUUAGGGAAGAACAAAUGUGUAAGUAACUAUGCACGUCUUGACGGUACCUAAUCAGAAAGCCACGGCUAACUACGUG
rnacentral:rRNA from 1 species